rnacentral:sRNA from 1 species
CGCAGUGCCCAAGAAAAGAUGAUGCGA